rnacentral:rRNA from 1 species
UACGUAGGGUGCGAGCGUUAAUCGGAAUUACUGGGCGUAAAGCGUGCGCAGGCGGUUUGUUAAGACAGAUGUGAAAUCCCCGGGCUUAACCUGGGAACUGCAUUUGUGACUGGCAAGCUAGAGUAUGGCAGAGGGGGGUAGAAUUCCACGUGUAGCAGUGAAAUGCGUAGAGAUGUGGAGGAAUACCGAUGGCGAAGGCAGCCCCCUGGGCCAAUACUGACGCUCAUGCACGAAAGCGUGGGGAAGCAAACAGGAUU